UCGGUGCGUGAGCAAAAGUUAGCCGCUGCCAGAAAAAAGCUCCGACAGUUUCAGAAGAAGAAAGGCACAAAACGAGCAGUUGAGUACAGCAGCAAGGAAACCACACCUGAUAUAGAAGGAAGCAUUGCUGAAGGGUCAAACCCGCAGUCGGAGUCGGGUACAUUAUCCUCUAGAGCGUCAUCAGUUGACCUUGUUUCAGAGGAGUUCACAGACCAACCUGCAGCCAUUGAUCAUGGAGAAACACACAGUGAUGUGCUCCCUUCCUCACAGGGAGUUUUAAGUGGCAUAGAAACAGUGGAGUACCCAGAGUGCUAGACCAGAGAAACAUGGAGAGCAAAGAGGAGUACAUUUAAACUAUGCUGACUCAGUUCACUCCCUUUUACCCCAAACAGAGGGAAGUGAAAAGAUAACAUCAUCUACUUAUAAUUACACAAAUGAGAACCCUGCAUUGACAUCAGAAGGGCAUGACUAUUCCCAGACUGUGUCUGUUAAUGGCACUGGUGAUAACACAGGUCUGAACACUGAGGUUCCCAGUUAUGUGCCACAACAAACAGCCAAUGAAACAGAAAGCUUUAAUCAGCAAAAUAAGCUUGCUUCAUAUUUCCAGUCAACACCAGAUUAUAAUAGCACUCCUAGG